AGAGAACUAGAUCCACAUCUG
rnacentral:miRNA from 1 species